rnacentral:tRNA from 1 species
AGUCUCGUAGUGUUUUCACGUCAAAAUGCAAGUUUGAAGAAGGGCCAUAAAAGGCU